GCCCUCGUGGCGGAAUUGGUAGACGCGACGGAUUCAAAAUCCGUUGCCUUCACGGGCGUGUCAGUUCGAGUCUGACCGAGGGCACCA
rnacentral:tRNA from 1 species